rnacentral:rRNA from 1 species
AUGGGUUGUAGUGUGCAGUACUACUACCUGGUACUAUUUUUUUUCAUUUUCGCUGGGAGGCAACCGCCCAGGUUCGCCCCUGUGAAGCUCUGCCGUUGCAUGCUAGUACUCUGGAUACUAUGUCAACUAGAUUUUUGCUUGUUUGUGUGGGCAAAGCAACCAAAGUUGUUGAUAGGUACCGAUGAAUGUUUAAAGGCUACAUUGGUGUUUCUAGCUUGGAGAAGCAACAUCAACUUGGGAUACAGAUUCACCAGCAUAUGUACAUGCAUCUCAUAG